rnacentral:piRNA from 1 species
AAAUGCCGGAUCCGGCGAAAUCUGCUCCUG